AGAGUUUGAUCCUGGCUCAGGAUGAACGCUGGCGGCGUGCUUAACACAUGCAAGUCGAACGAACCUUCGGGUUAGUGGCGGACGGGUGAGUACGCGUGGGAAUCUGCCCUCAGGAGGGGGAUAACGGCUGGAAACGGCCGCUAAUACCCCAUAUGCCGAGAGGUGAAAGGAAAUUCGCCUGAGGAUGAGCCCGCGUCUGAUUAGCUAGUUGGUGGGGUAAGAGCUUACCAAGGCGACGAUCAGUAGCUGGUCUGAGAGGAUGAUCAGCCACACUGGGACUGAGACACGGCCCAGACUCCUACGGGAGGCAGCAGUGGGGAAUUUUCCGCAAUGGGCGAAAGCCUGACGGAGCAACGCCGCGUGAGGGAUAAAGGCCUCUGGGCUGUAAACCUCUUUUCUCAAGGAAGAAGACAUGACGGUACUUGAGGAAUAAGCCACGGCUAAUUCCGUGCCAGCAGCCGCGGUAAUACGGGAGUGGCAAGCGUUAUCCGGAAUUAUUGGGCGUAAAGCGUCCGCAGGCGGCCCUGUAAGUCUGUCGUUAAAGCGUGGAGCUUAACUCCAUUUAAGCGAUGGAAACUACAGGGCUUGAGUGUGGUAGGGGCAGAGGGAAUUCCCGGUGUAGCGGUGAAAUGCGUAGAUAUCGGGAAGAACACCAGUGGCGAAGGCGCUCUGCUGGGCCAUAACUGACGCUCAUGGACGAAAGCCAGGGGAGCGAAAGGGAUUAGAUACCCCUGUAGUCCUGGCCGUAAACGAUGAACACUAGGUGUCGGGGGAAUCGACCCCCUCGGUGUCGUAGCCAACGCGUUAAGUGUUCCGCCUGGGGAGUACGCACGCAAGUGUGAAACUCAAAGGAAUUGACGGGGGCCCGCACAAGCGGUGGAGUAUGUGGUUUAAUUCGAUGCAACGCGAAGAACCUUACCAGGGUUUGACAUCCUGCGAAUCCCUUGGAAACGAGGGAGUGCCUUCGGGAGCGCAGAGACAGGUGGUGCAUGGCUGUCGUCAGCUCGUGUCGUGAGAUGUUGGGUUAAGUCCCGCAACGAGCGCAACCCACGUCUUUAGUUGCCAGCAUUCAGUUGGGCACUCUAGAGAGACCGCCGGUGAUAAACCGGAGGAAGGUGUUGAUGACGUCAAGUCAUCAUGCCCCUUACAUCCUGGGCUACACACGUACUACAAUGCUACGGACAAAGGGCAGCAAGCUCGCGAGAGUUAGCAAAUCCCAUAAACCGUGGCUCAGUUCAGAUCGUAGGCUGCAACUCGCCUACGUGAAGGAGGAAUCGCUAGUAAUCGCAGGUCAGCAUACUGCGGUGAAUACGUUCCCGGGCCUUGUACACACCGCCCGUCACACCAUGGAAGUUGGCCAUGCCCGAAGUCGUUACUCCAACCCAC
rnacentral:rRNA from 1 species